CUCACGGGCCCGGCCGCUCGACGGCAUGUGGGAUCUUCCCAGACCGGGGCACGAACCCAUGUCCCCUGCAUCGGCAGGCGGACUCUCAACCACUGUGCCACCAGGGAAGCCCUGGAAGAGCUUUUGCUACGGCACUCAUCACACCCCAACAAGAGUUACUGAAUUUGAGACAUAGACUGGAACUUUAAAGCAUCACGUUGCAGGGAAGAAACUGAGGUUCGAAGAGAAUCGGAGUCAACUGGGCUAUUUUGAAAUCUACCAAAGGCAGACCAUCCAAGAACCUAUAAUUGUAGAGAGGGACUGUCUUUUCUGGCAGUGGUGUCUGUGUGUGCAGGUUGUAAAAGGCAGUACGGGCCCAGCAGUAGAUUCAGUGCCAGGAGGGCUGACGUUUGGACCCAGCGCUAUCAUUAUACUAAUAUAGUUCCUGUGCUGCCACGUUGUUUCACCAUAGCAAGCACUGGUCUUUCUGUGCCUCCGCUUUUCCUGUUGGUGAUGAGAAGAGCCAUUCUUACAUAUUUAUACAAGUAUAAAUAUUUAUACAGGUAUUUGUGAAGGCAAAUAGAGCAGAGUGAAUGAAACAAAUCUUAGUGGUUCUUCUACUUACUGGUUGUUAUGGGACUGUUAUGGGCUGAAUCGUGUGCUCCCUCCCCAGUUCAUGUGCCAAAGUCCUAACCAUACCUCAGAAUGUGAGGGGAUUUGGAGACAGGAUCUUUAAAGAGGUCAUUAAGUUAAAAUGAGAUCGUUAGGGUGGACCCUAAUCCCAAAGACCACGUGAAGACACAGAAGACAGCCAUCUACAAGGCAAAAAGAGAGCCUUCAGAAGAAACCGAUCCUGCCAAUACCUUCAUCUUAGACUUCUAGCCUCCAAAAUUGUGAGAAAGUAAAUUCCUGCUGCCCAAGGCACCCAGAAACCUUGUUAUGGCAGCCCUAGCAAACUAAUACAGGGGCCUUAGGAAAGUUACAUAACCUUUCUAGGCCAGAUAAACUACAUAAUUUGUGGCGUCCAGUGCAAAAUGAAAAUGUAGGGCCCGUCGUUAAAAAAUUAUUAAGUGUUUCAAGAUGGCAACAAUGGAGCAUUAAACCAAGCUCAGGGCCCCUCUAAGUGCCAGGGAACAUACUUCCCACCCACGAAGCCGGUUCUGAUUCUAGAUGUCAGUUUCCCUGUCUGGAAAGCAGUGAUCAUAAUUGCACUUACUUUUAGGUUUGCUGAGAAGAUUAGAUCAGAUUCUAGGACUAAGCUCUCAGAGAACAUGAAGGGGUGACCAA